GUCGUCGUGGCCGAGUGGUUAAGGCGACAGACUUGAAAUCUGUUGGCUCUGCCC
rnacentral:tRNA from 1 species